rnacentral:tRNA from 1 species
AGAUGGCUUGGUAGGUAAAGUGCUUGCCUUGCAAGCAUGAGGACCCGAGUUUGAGUCUCAGCAUCUA